UCUGUGGCAGCUGAAGAACAUCAGAGGUGUGGGCCAUGUAAAGGACACACUUACAUGGUUAAUGACCCCACAAAGCUAUUGCUUUCUUCUCAUCUAUUUUCUGCCCUUAUCACAUAAUUAAUCACUAUGUACAAGCUUUGAGGACGGAUCAAGUUGCCUGGGGGUAGCUGCGAUUGCUCACUUGUUACUUGGACUCUCCACUCGCAGGGCUUCCCUUCCUCCACCUUUAAAAAGACAAAUCCAUGAAGAACAGAGCUGAGGCACUGUCAUUCCUGUCCAGCUGCUGAAGAUAUGAGAAGCCAAGCAGAAGGUUGCUGUAUUAGGAUGCGUAGAGUGGAGAGGAAAACCAGAAUCCUUUCUCAGGUCAUGUGAGGUAAGUAGGAAGGAACUGGCUCACAAUAUUUAAUCUGCUGCCACGAACACCUUGCAAAUAUUAACUAAUCCUCACAAAAAUCUUGUGAGAUACAUUAAUAUAAACCAUUUAGAUGUAUUUCAGCAAACAGUGAGUGUGCCCAGUGCCUGCCUGGGUGCUUUGGCAGUGCCUCAGGAGCUGAUGUUCAGUCAGACAUCUUCUGAUGCUCUCCCAUCCGAUUGGCUUUCAUGUCAGCAGAACACAAAUCAACAUCAUGUUGAAGGUUCAAGACAAACUGGGAUUUAGGAUUUUGUGGAAAUCCAUGCUGGGAUGAUGGGAGGAGUGUGGUUUUCCAGGGUUGGGAUGGCAUCAGCUCAGUUUUGGAACUUUUGGGAUUGGUCCAGGUGUGACUCAGUAAAAUUUGAGUGUGUGGCACACAGACAGCAAAGAAAUUCUCUGUUUUGAGAAUUCUCACCCCUCGGACCAGCAGGCUAAGAGGUGUUUUCCCAUGAGAGGCACAUCCUUGUACCUAACCCAGGAAUUUAACACAGCUCUUCAAUAACUAAGCUUAGACUCUCAAGUUCUGUCUCCUCAGCUUUAUUUAACAUAACUUUAACUUCAUUUAGCUCAUUUCUACAAAACGUCUUCCACUCAUUUACGCUGGUGAGCACAGAAAGAUGACUUUUUUCCUCCUUUUUGGUAGAACAGGAUUUCACUGGCAAGAAGAACCUGGUUGUCCAUCAACAUAAGGGCAUAUUUCAGCUUCCUCUCACAUGCUUAGAUGUAAAAGAGAUAGAAGCAUUUGCAUCACAUUCCUGUUGAGAGGAAGACACGGGUUUCAUUCCUCUUUUUCAUUCCCACUCCAUUGGAACUGGCAUGAACACAGACGACGAGCAGUGACCCAUUCUGUUAAGAUUUAAAUUUAGCAAGGAACUGGAAAAUCUCUGGGAGCUUUACCUCUAACCUCUGCUUCAGAAAAAAAUAUGCAUAAUUCCUGUCUUACUGCUAAAUUUGAGUUAAUUUCAAAAGCCAGGCCAAUAAAAGAACUGUCCAACGCAAA